CCUACGGGAGGCAGCAGUGAGGCAUAUUGGUCAAUGGACGAGAGUCUGAACCAGCCAAGUAGCGUGAAGGAUGACUGCCCUAUGGGUUGUAAACUUCUUUUAUAUGGGAAUAAAACGUUCCACGUGUGGGAUUUUGUAUGUACCAUAUGAAUAAGGAUCGGCUAACUCCGGGCCAGCAGCCGCGGUAAUACGGAGGAUCCGAGCGUUAUCCGGAUUUAUUGGGUUUAAAGGGAGCGUAGGUGGAUUGUUAAGUCAGUUGUGAAAGUUUGCGGCUCAACCGUAAAAUUGCAGUUGAAACUGGCAGUCUUGAGUACAGUAGAGGUGGGCGGAAUUCGUGGUGUAGCGGUGAAAUGCUUAGAUAUCACGAAGAACUCCGAUUGCGAAGGCAGUUCACUGGACUGCAACUGACACUGAGGCUCGAAAGUGUGGGUAUCAAACAGGAUUAGAUACCCGGGUAGUC
rnacentral:rRNA from 1 species